rnacentral:rRNA from 1 species
GAUGAACGCUGGCGGCGUGCCUAAUACAUGCAAGUCGAGCGAACGGACGAGAAGCUUGCUUCUCUGAUGUUAGCGGCGGACGGGUGAGUAACACGUGGAUAACCUACCUAUAAGACUGGGAUAACUUCGGGAAACCGGAGCUAAUACCGGAUGAUAUUUUGAACCGCAUGGUUCAAAAGUGAAAGACGGUCUUGCUGUCACUUAUAGAUGGAUCCGCGCUGCAUUAGCUAGUUGGUAAGGUAACGGCUUACCAAGGCAACGAUGCAUAGCCGGCCUGAGAGGGUGAUCGGCCACACGGGAACUGAGACACGGUCCAGACUCCUACGGGAGGCAGCAGUAGGGAAUCUUCCGCAAUGGGCGAAAGCCUGACGGAGCAACGCCGCGUGAGUGAUGAAGGUCUUCGGAUCGUAAAACUCUGUUAUUAGGGAAGAACAUAUGUGUAAGUAACUGUGCACAUCUUGACGGUACCUAAUCAGAAAGCCACGGCUAACUACGUG